AGGAAUAUUGGUCAAUGGACGCAAGUCUGAACCAGCCAUGCCGCGUGAAGGAUGAAGGUCCUCUGGAUUGUAAACUUCUUUUAUCUGGGACGAAAACGGGAUUUUUAUCUCAAUUGACGGUACCAGAGGAAUAAGCACCGGCUAACUCCGUGCCAGCAGCCGCGGUAAUACGGAGGGUGCAAGCGUUAUCCGGAUUCACUGGGUUUAAAGGGUGCGUAGGUGGGCAGAUAAGUCAGUGGUGAAAUCUUCCGGCUUAACCGGGAAACUGCCGUUGNUACUAUUUGUCUGGAAUAUUGCGGAGGUAAGCGGAAUAUGUCAUGUAGCGGUGAAAUGCUUAGAUAUGACAUAGAACACCAAUUGCGAAGGCAGCUUACUACACAAUCAUUGACACUGAGGCACGAAAGCGUGGGUAGCGAACA
rnacentral:rRNA from 1 species